rnacentral:rRNA from 1 species
UACAGAGGGUGCGAGCGUUGUCCGGAAUUACUGGGCGUAAAGGGUUCGUAGUCGUCUUGCUAUUUAGUUUGUGAAAUUCCAUGGCUCAACCAUGGAUCGGCCUUCUAGACUGUCAGGCUUGAGCACGGUAGAGGCAGAUGGAAUUCCCGGUGUAGCGGUGGAAUGCGUAGAGAUCGGGAAGAACACCAGUGGCGAAGGCGGUCUGCUGGGCCGUUGCUGACGCUGAGGCGCGACAGCGUGGGGAGCAAACAGG